AUCGAAACAGGUGAAACAAUUGCAGUUUUUUGGGCAUAAUAUUGAGAAAGGAACAAAAAACUGCAAUUGUUUCACCUGUUUCGAU